rnacentral:rRNA from 1 species
UGGGGAAUAUUGGACAAUGGGCGAAAGCCUGAUCCAGCGACGCCGCGUGUGUGAAGGAGGCCUUCGGGUUGUAAAGCACUUUCAGCGAGGAGAAAAGGAUGCUGGCUAAUAUCCAGCAUCUGUGACGUUACUCGCAGACGAAGCACCGGCUAACUCCGUGCCAGCAGCCGCGGUAAUACGGAGGGUGCAAGCGUUAAUCGGAAUUACUGGGCGUAAAGCGCACGCAGGCGGUUGGAUAAGUUAGAUGUGAAAGCCCCGGGCUCAACCUGGGAAUUGCAUUUAAAACUGUCCAGCUAGAGUCUUGUAGAGGGGGGUAGAAUUCCAGGUGUAGCGGUGAAAUGCGUAGAGAUCUGGAGGAAUACCGGUGGCGAAGGCGGCCCCCUGGACAAAGACUGACGCUCAGGUGCGAAAGCGUGGGGAGCAA